GACGAACGCUGGCGGCGUGCUUAACACAUGCAAGUCGAACGGUAAGGCAUUUCGGGGUACACGAGUGGCGAACGGGUGAGUAACACGUGGGUGAUCUGCCCUGCACUUCGGGAUAAGCCCGGGAAACUGGGUCUAAUACCGGAUAGGACUGCGCGGUGCAUGCCGUGUGGUGGAAAGAUUUAUCGGUGCAGGAUGGGCCCGCGGCCUAUCAGCUUGUUGGUGGGGUAAUGGGCUACCAAGGCGACGACGGGUAGCCGGCCUGAGAGGGCGACCGGCCACACUGGGACUGAGACACGGCCCAGACUGCUACGGGAGGCAGCAGUGGGGAAUAUUACACAAUGGGCGCAAGCCUGAUGCAGCGACGCCGCGUGAGUGAUGACGGCCUUCGGGUUGUAAACCUCUUUCAGCAGGGACGAAGCGUGACUGACGGUACCUGCAGAAGAAGCACCGGCCAACUACGUG
rnacentral:rRNA from 1 species